rnacentral:rRNA from 1 species
UGUAAGCGUAUACCAAAGUUGUUGCAGUUAAAACGCUCGUAGUCGGACUUUGGCAGUUCCGGAUGUGUGCACGUCGUGUGCGCACUUCGCGGGGAUUGCUUUUGUGGUCUUGCGUAGGAUGAGGCACUUUUAUUAGUGAACGUCCUCACGCAACCACUUUUUACUGUGAGAACAUCAGAGUGCUCAAAGCAGGCAUUUGCCGUGAAUGUAUUAGCAUGGAAUAAUAGAAUAGGACUUGGUUCUAUUUUGUUGGUUUGUUGGGACUGAGUAAUGAUUAAGAGGGACAGUUGGGGGCAUUUGUAUUUCGGUGCUAGAGGUGAAAUUCUUAGAUUACCGAAAGACAAACUGCUGCGAAAGCGUCUGCCAAGGAUGUUUUCAUUGA